GGGACAGACUGAAGAGGAGACCAGUGAUGGCUUCGGAAAGGCUCAGAUGAGUGAGAAGAUGCCUUGACAUCAGGUAAGACUGGAUUAAGUUGGUGCUCUGAAGCCCCAAGUUCAGCCAAGAGAAGAGGCUCUACCACUGGGCGGGGUUGAGGGUUUCCCCAAAUUACAUUAUCAAUGAGAUUUGUUUAUUUGGAGGGAAAAGACACUGAGGUCCAGGAGGUUUGGGGAACAGUGGGAUAAGCCAGGCUAGACCAGUUUCUUCACCGCAGGAUUUCUCAGAACCUAUAAAAUGCUAAUGGGGGUGCUGAAGCUCCAAAGGGGAGACAGGUAUGCAAUUUAACCACAUCUUUUUUUUUUUUUUUUUCCACAGAGCAUCUCUUGGGCCUGGUGCAUGGUGGAACACACCUUAGGAAAUGCAGUCUGAUGUCAUAGCGGAAAAUGAUCUUCACGGGGUCCAGAAUUUGAUAACACAUCAACAAAAGAAGAAAUCUAUGUCAUCCAGCCCAAUCUUCAACAUUCUCUAUGAGUCCCAGAAAGGGUGUGUGCCUUACCUUAGGUCACACAGCUACUAAUGGUCAAGUGAAUCUCAAGCACUUAACAAUAUCAAGCUCGCUGUUCAUAGCCAGCAUCAAGAACGAAAUUUUAGGAACCUGAGAUUCUUUUUCAUAAAAACCUGCCUUGAUUUGCUCUACAUGGGGCUACUACUCUUUCACAAGGUGCCCAAAUCACCUUUCCUGCCUUGUUAUCUUUUAAAGGAAGGAUGUAAGAAGCAGUGGGAGAGCAGGUAUCAGGAGAGGAGGACCCUGAUAGAACAAGGAGACAGAUGGAGGCUUAGCUGGCUGCAUGCUGAACUGAGCACCUCUCUGGCAGGAGAGAAGGGAGCUGGGUCCCUGACUGUUUACUUCCAUGGAAGUUCACCUGAAUUUUGCUCCUGGGACAGAAUGGGAUAUUCCCGCCCAAUUCUGGCUGUGCACAUUUCUUCCCAAGAACCUCCGUCUCUGCCCUAUCUAUAUAUGGAAACACAUCUGACAACAGCAGCAGACAAGAAAGAUUUUUGUUCUCUCAGAACGCAGAAAAAUUCUCCGUCAGCAGCCGUUUUUUUCAGUGUUUGGUGCAUUGAUGUGUGGGCUACAUAG
rnacentral:lncRNA from 1 species